GNUCAACCAUAGUGUGCUCUGGAAACUGUNUGACUUGAGUGCAGAAGGGGAGAGUGGAAUUCCAUGUGUAGCGGUGAAAUGCGUAGAUAUAUGGAGGAACACCAGUGGCGAAAGCGGCUCUCUGGUCUGUCACUGACGCUGAGGCUCGAAAGCGUGGGUAGCGAACAGGAUUAGAUACCCUGGUAGUCCACGCCGUAAACGAUGAGUGCUAGGUGUUAGGCCCUUUCCGGGGCUUAGUGCCGGAGCUAACGCAAUAAGCACUCCGCCUGGGGAGUACGACCGCAAGGUUGAAACUCAAAGGAAUUGACGGGGGCCCGCACAAGCGGUGGAGCAUGUGGUUUAAUUCGAAGCAACGCGAAGAACCUUACCAGGUCUUGACAUCCCGAUGCUAUUCUUAGAGAUAGGAAGUUACUUCGGUACAUCGGAGACAGGUGGUGCAUGGUUGUCGUCAGCUCGUGUCGUGAGAUGUUGGGUUAAGUCCCGCAACGAGCGCAACCCUUAUUGUUAGUUGCCAUCAUUAAGUUGGGCACUCUAGCGAGACUGCCGGUAAUAAACCGGAGGAAGGUGGGGAUGACGUCAAAUCAUCAUGCCCCUUAUGACCUGGGCUACACACGUGCUACAAUGGUCGGUACAACGAGUUGCGAGCCGGUGACGGCAAGCUAAUCUCUGAAAGCCGAUCUCAGUUCGGAUUGGAGGCUGCAACUCGCCUCCAUGAAGUCGGAAUCGCUAGUAAUCGCGGAUCAGCACGCCGCGGUGAAUACGUUCCCGGGCCUUGUACACACCGCCCGUCACACCACGAGAGUUUGUAACACCCGAAGUCGGUGAGGUAACCUUUUAGGGGCC
rnacentral:rRNA from 1 species